GGGUCAGUAGGUUGGUCGUGCCACCGGUACGUACUGGUCUCACUGACUCCUCCUUCCUGAAGAACCGUAAUGCCAUUAAUUUGGUGUUGCGGGGAAACAGGACUGUUACUUUGAAAAAAUUAGAGUGUUUAAAGCAAGCUAACGCAUGAAUACAUUAGCAUGGAAUAAUGAAAUAGGACGAUCGAUCCUAUUUUGUUGGUUUCUAGGAUUGACGUA
rnacentral:rRNA from 1 species